GCAAGAAGACCUAUGCCAGAUAUGGGCCCAUGACCUUGGACAUCCCAGCCUUCAGAUCUUAUGGAAAAAGCAUUCUAUUUUUCUUAAAUUUGAGGUCAACUGAGACUCCCUGUAGUUUUCCCCAAAACCUGAUAAUAAGUCAAGAGUUAAGAAGAUAUGAAGAGAGAGGAAAUUAAGCUGGAGUGUACUUUGGUCCCAGCUCCAC